CCUCUUCUCUUCUCCACUCACUCCGACCAACAUCCAGUUCUACAAAAUUAAUUUAAUUCUAUUUUCCUAUUGUUUCUUAAAAGAAUAUCUGAACACAUUGUUACACACACGACCCUCAGGAACACUUCAUCUUCAUCUCUCACGAACACGAUCCCGUUCAUCUCAGAUUUCGAUUCCAAAAGUAGAAACUCCGAUUCCGAUUCCGUUCAUCUUCAUCUCAGAUUCACGAACACGUUCAUCUUCAUUGAGCACGAAUCCCUCAAAAUCACUCUGAAUCUCACGAAUUUUUGAAUCUCUUGCACUUCUAAUUUCUCUAUCGAUUUUUCCCUAAGCAAUUUGCGCCAGUCCUCCGCAUCUCUUGUCAAUCUUCACUGAGUGAUUUUCAGUCAAUUUCAAAGAUCAAUCGUUGAGGUGCAAAUUAUAGAAGCUAGCUAGAAGAGGAAAACUUGGAAACUAAGUGGAUUUUUUUAUAUUUAUUUUAAAGUUUUUUAAGAUUAUGUACACAAAUUAUAAUGCUAG